rfam:Myotis lucifugus cont2.28701, whole genome shotgun sequence.
AGGCCCGCAGAGAGAGGCAGGGUCUGAUCCGCAGCCUCCGUGGCAGCUGUUGAUCAGCCCUUGCCUCUCUCUUUCUCUCCA